rnacentral:rRNA from 1 species
GACGAACGCUGGCGGCGUGCUUAACACAUGCAAGUCGAACGGAAAGGUCCUGCUUUUGUGGGGUGCUCGAGUGGCGAACGGGUGAGUAACACGUGAGUAACCUGCCCUUGACUUUGGGAUAACUUCAGGUAACUGGUGCUAAUACCUGAUAGGAGCUCCUGCUGCAUGGUGGGGGUUGGAAAGUUUCGGCGGUUGGGGAUGGACUCGCGGCUUAUCAGCUUGUUGGUGGGGUCGUGGCUUACCAAGGCUUUGACGGGUAGCCGGCCUGAGAGGGUGACCGGACACAUUGGGACUGAGAUACGGCCCAGACUCGUACGGGAGGCAGCAGUGGGGAAGAUUGCACAAUGGGCGGAAGCCUGAUGCAGCAACGCCGCGUGCGGGAGGACGGCCAUCGGGUUGUAAACCGCUGUCGCCUGUGACGAAGCGUGAGUGACGGUAAUGGGUAAAGAAGCACCGGCUAACUACGUG